CAAGGCAAUUGGCGGGUGCUAUACAUGCAAGUCGAGCGGACUUACAAAAGCUUGCUUUUGUAAGUUAGCGGCGGACGGGUGAGUAACACGUGGGCAACCUGCCCUUGAGACUGGGAUAACUUCGGGAAACCGGAGCUAAUACCGGAUAAUAUAAGGAACCUCCUGGUUCCUUAUUGAAAGAUGGUUUCGGCUAUCACUUGAGGAUGGGCCCGCGGCGCAUUAGCUAGUUGGUGAGGUAACGGCUCACCAAGGCGACGAUGCGUAGCCGACCUGAGAGGGUGAUCGGCCACACUGGGACUGAGACACGGCCCAGACUCCUACGGGAGGCAGCAGUAGGGAAUCUUCCACAAUGGACGAAAGUCUGAUGGAGCAACGCCGCGUGAGUGAUGAAGGCCUUCGGGUCGUAAAGCUCUGUUGUUAGGGAAGAACAAGUGCGAGAGUAACUGCUCGCACCUUGACGGUACCUAACCAGAAAGCCACGGCUAACUACGUGCCAGCAGCCGCGGUAAU
rnacentral:rRNA from 1 species